AGCAACAGAUUUUUAAAUGCUCCAGUAUGAGGAUGUAGGGUAUGCGGGAAGUUUCCAAAGUAUACACACAUGGAUUUUUUGAGUAUUUUGCUAAAAACAAAUAUUUAUGCUGCGCCAACAAGAAAAACAUGCUUUAUUGGAGUGUAAAUUAUCAAGAACACCUAUAGAACAACAUUCGCGACGUCAUUACCAACAUACCGAUUUAUAGGCUGCGAAGUAUGCGCGAUGGGGGCUGCUAUUUACCCAAUGUCAUUUUCAAGACUGCAUGAAAAUAUAUGAGAUAUUGUAUUCUCAAAUUUAUUUAUUUGUUUAUUAUGCAAUUAUAAGCCACAAGUAAUCGAUUAACAAUAACAAUAUUCAGCAUGUAUAAUUAAAAACAAUUAAAAUAAUAACUGAA